AAAUCUAAUUUUUUCGCUUACUAAUGACACAUGUAGGCUACGUUUGUGUGUGGAAAGCCCACUUUUAUUAAACAACUGUAGGAAGGCAUUCGGAAAUUUCAAGAGAUGAGUGCAUGAGCGCACACGGGGCAACAGGGGGAUGUUAAUGAGCUGUUAAGAU